rnacentral:rRNA from 1 species
AAUCAACGCUGGCGGCGUGCCUCAGACAUGCAAGUCGAACGCGAAAGUCCCCCUCGGGGGACAAGUAGAGUGGCGCACGGGUGAGUAACACGUAGGUAAUCUACCUUCGGGUGGGGAAUAACAAUCGGAAACGGUUGCUAAUACCGCAUAAUGCAGCGGCACCUAAUGGUGACAGUUGUUAAAGCGGGGGAUCGCAAGAUCUCGCGCCUGAAGAGGAGCCUGCGGCGGAUUAGCUAGUUGGUAGGGUAAUGGCCUACCAAGGCGACGAUCCGUAGCCGGCCUGAGAGGGCGGUCGGCCACACUGACACUGACAUACGGGUCAGACUCCUACGGGAGGCAGCAGUCGGGAAUUUUGGG